AUUGAACGCUGGCGGCGUGCCUAACACAUGCAAGUCGAGCGGUAACAGGUGUAGCAAUACAUGCUGACGAGCGGCGGACGGGUGAGUAACGCUUGGGAAUCUGCCUAUCAGUGGGGGACAACCCGGGGAAACUCGGGCUAAUACCGCAUACGAUCUACGGAUGAAAGCCGGAGACCGCAAGGCCUGGCGCUGAUAGAUGA
rnacentral:rRNA from 1 species